AUUACUGGACAGGUGAUGUCUAGGUUGUAAUGGAUAUUUACUGAGCAUCUGCUGUAUGUAAUGGGACUCUAUGGGGGGUCAAAGCAACCAAUAACCAAUUUUCAGAAUGAUUGCCCUUCAGAAAGGUCAGCAUUAGAAAGGAAAUCAGACAAUGUAACAACGAGUUAAACUAUAAUGUACAAAUACUAUUAGAAGUGAAGGGCAGAGGGUUGGACUGCAAAAAGGGCAGCAUUAAGAUAACGGUCACUGAGAUGUUGAAAAUAUUUUUGAAGGAAGAGUAUGAAUUUGCCAAUUAGAAAAGUUGGGGGAGGCCACUUCUGGCAAGAAACACAGCUUGUGCAAUAUUAUGACACCAUAAUGGACAUCUGUGUAUUUGGAAAGCAGCAGUUGCUUUGGUAUGACUAAAGGUCAGGUUCACUGGGGAGAGUAGGAGGAGCUGGAGCUGGAGAACCAGGUGCUCCCUGUCAUCCUUUCUCAUUCAGUCUGCAGGGUCCUUCAGCAAGUGCCCAUCACAGUGAACAAAUUCUUUGAGAGAUAGAGAGAGGUGGAAUGUUUUGAAAGAGUGACCUAUGACCUGGAUGUCUAGAGCCCUCAACACUUGACCCAAGUCCCAAACUACAUCCUCUUUCCUCCACCUGUGUAGAAAGAACACAUUAUUCUUGAAACUUGAGGGGAAAAAUGAAGUGCAAAGAGAUGAAAGACCUUGUCCAAGAUGCCUGUAAGUGGUGGAGACAGGAUAAGGCUCCAGAUAGGCUGGCUUCAGGGUCUGCAUACUAACCAUUGUCUGUCAAUGGGAUGAAGGUAUGGAGCAUCCAGCAGGGGUGUCUGUCAAUGGGUUGAAGCUAUGGAGCAUCCACAAGGGGUGUCUGUCAUUGGGAUGAAGGAACUUGAAGGCUUUGGGGAGCAUGAAGAGGACGCUGGCACCAACAGCAGGGGAAACUGUGACUAUGGGAAGUGUUAAUUGAGGAUAUGGUGAAUGAGGGCUCUAGCUCUAAUGUCACAAUUAGGCUGAAGGGUGUAGGUCAUAGCCAGUGGGAGAGUUUUUACGUGAGGGCCUCCAUAAGAAUAACAGAAGAAUAAAACACUAGUUUCCUUCUUCCCAUUGCCUCCCUAAACAGUUUUCCAUCUGAUAGAUAAUUGAGUCUGCGGUCUUUGUUUGCCUAUUUGCUUCUUUACCAAAAGCCUAAGUUUCACUGUUUUCUGGAACUGGAAUAUGUACUUGUGAAGACCCUGGUAUAGCAGAUCUAUAAGGUAUUUUUUCCUAACUUGUGUCUAGGAACAUGUGAGAUAUUUUCAUAUUAGCUUGCCUCUAUCUGGGCCAUAGAAUAUGAGCCACUCAAAAACCAAAAGGAAAUAUAAACACCAUGUCAUCUGGUUGAAAGAGUUGCUCUCCCCUCUCAUUUUUCUAUUUCCUUAGAACAAUCAUGGUUGCUUAGUUGUUUUGGUUAAAUACAGAGUCCCAAAGCAAAGUCAUUUGGAAAUUUCCACUAGAAAAAGUGUUAAAUAUGAAAUCCAAUCAGUACAAUCAUGGGCUAUGAUUCUGGAAAUAAGGAAGGAUUUUGGCUCAUGGGGUACUGCUCACAUACUCCACAUCAUCAGGGGCAGGUGAAAUUCCUGUGAAUAAUGUGUCUGCAAGUUUGGCUGUAAAAUUCACUAGGAAUAUGAACAGCUUUGAGAGUCAGAAAUGCUGAUCAUGUGCCAAGGCUCUCCACAGGCAGGAAAAAGUAAUCAAUUUGUGAGAAUGAAGUAGAAGAUGCAGAAUAAAGCAAGCAUCUUUGAUCUUGAGAGGAGCAGAUGCCCUCCGUCUUGGGGCUUCUCCAAUUAAAUCAAGAGAGUUUUUGACUUUGCCUUUUUAGGUGAAGGCAAAACUGGCACUGAUACUCUUUUGAAUUUCCUUUCAAGGUUGAGACUAUGGUAGCACAGCUCAGUAAUUGCUAUUGUUGUCUUGGUGGGCAAAAAGGAUGCUGCAAAAUAAGAUCCUAGUACAUGUCUCUUUGUUUCCUGAUAUAAUUCCUUAAACUAAGUCUCUAAAUUGGUGCCUUGCUUAUCACGGAUACAUUAACUCACCCUAUGAAGUCAAAGAUUAAGACUGUGUCCUACAGGAAAAAUCAAGGCACAGAAAGCAUUUGCCUAACCAUUCCCGGCAUCAGAAAUGCUUCAAAGACCAUCUGCCCACUGGUCCCUACGGUUGGUUUUGUUGAGUCACUGGAGCUAGAGGGAGGACAUCUAGCUCCCUUCAUUCCCCAGUUCUUCCACUCAUUGAGCCUUGGAGGAAUGUUACAGGAAAGGGACACUCUGAUGUUCUACUGCUUGUGAUGGGAGUUCUAGAAAUUUCAUAGAGCUGUAGAAACUCCUGUUGGAAGAGACAUUGAGCAUGAUGAAGCCCAAAUGAUCUGUCACAGAUGAGGAAAGCAUGCAGUCCCCCCUUGGUUUUUUGGAAAGUGCUCGGUUCGGACUUUCCUUCUCACCUUGCUUUGGUUCUCCUUGAAGCAGAUUCUGAACGUAAGUGAUUUAUUUGGGAUGUGAUUCCAGAAAAUCUCAGUAGAGGAGUGAGGGAGUGAGAAAGGGAAGGAAAUCAAAUAUAGAAUAUGUUAUGGUGCAAGUUAUUACUGAAAACAAUUGAAUCUCCUGCUGGGGAACACUAGGAGACAUGGUAAAACGUGCCUCAGAGUUAUCCCACCUGAGGAAUGUGAAAGCUGGCGUAUUUAUACACCAACUCCUCUUCCUCAUUUCUCAGUGAUGUCAACUCCUCAGCAUUUCUGGUCUGCACUGCAUGAGCCUGAAAGCCCUCAGGUAAGAGUCACAGCCACAUGCAUUAGGAUGCUGCUGAUGUGUACUGGAAUGGUGAUAACUGAGAGGACGAGACUGGGGCACUUACAGAAUCAGCUACAAUUCUCCAACCACAGCCAAGAGGAGAGGCGUUAUCUCCUGAGCUCUAAGGCCAAAUUUUGUGGCCCUUCAAGAGACCUGUAAAGUCAUGGGUGCUGUAAGAAAGAGAGGCUGAUCUCACCUCAGAAUGGAUAUUCACCAAGGUUUAGAAUCUGAAGGAACUUUCUGACUGGAGUAGAGAAUGUUGCCAGAGUUCAUGGAAAUUCUUGACAUGGGUUCCCUGGAGUUGGGAGUUGUGUUUGAACAUAGGGUCUAGUGUAUUCUUGUAAUCUGAAGGUGGGGGGUUCCUCUAAAGUGGUCUAUACAGCAGGCUUGGAAAGUAUUGUGUAAAAGUUUUGUUUUCUUUAACCCUUGCAGAGUGAAGUCAAGGACUUUAACAAUUCCAAUGUAAAUCUAUGUGUAGAGUCAUGGAGGUUAAUAGAGUGAAGGAGGUGUGGGGCUCUUAGCCAAGUACUGGGAGACCUAACGUGAGAAAAUGGUUGGGAGCAUGGACCACUGGCAGGGUCAAAGGAAGACUUAGGUGACUCUCUCUCUUCUCUUCCAUGGAAGGAUCAGGGAAAAGCUGAACAUAACCUCAGGAAAACCACAGAUAUCUAGUGGAAGACCGUCUAUGUCAGAUGGAAACAGAUCCACGGAGAGGAAGAACAAAGCUACGCCCUGACCAACAAUUAAAAUAACUAUAUCCAGUCAGUAAAGAGACUCGCUAUUUUCUUUUUUCACUGGAAGCAUUAGAAUCUAGAAGAGUUGGGGAAAGGAGAGAGCUUCAGAUAGGUUUUAAAUUUGACAUAUUAAACAGGAUUGUAUUAUGUUCUCAUAAUUGAAACUUAUUAGAAGAGUUAUGAAAUUGAGCCAAAAUUUCACUGGUAUAGGAAAAGAUGAUUUAGAGAAUCAUAGUUAACAGCAGUCAUUUAAAAUAAAUGGAAAGGGUUUUUAUGUUUCCUCACACUCUAGAAUGUCAGCUCAAUGAGAACAGUGAUUCUACUUUGUUAGUUCUGUUUUAUACAUUUCUAGAACAGUGCCUGUGCCUAGUAAAUCUUUAUUAAUGUUUGUUGAAUGAAUGGG
ensembl:lncRNA